rnacentral:rRNA from 1 species
CACCCUUCGAAUAGGGCGGUCCCUAGGGGUACUCAACCAGAAAGCCAGGCUAAAAUAAGUGCCAGCAGCCGCGGUAAUAUGUAGGUGGCAAGCGUUGUCCCGAAAUUAUUGGGCGUAAAGGGCGCGCAGGCGGUUUCUUAAGUCUGAUGUGAAAGCCCCCGGCUCAACCGGGGAGGGUCAUUGGAAACUGGGGAACUUGAGUGCAGAAGAGGAGAGUGGAAUUCCACGUGUAGCGGUGAAAUGCGUAGAGAUGUGGAGGAACACCAGUGGCGAAGGCGACUCUCUGGUCUGUAACUGACGCUGAGGCGCGAAAGCGUGGGGAGCGAACAGGAUUAGAUACCCUGGUAGUCCACGCCGUAAACGAUGAGUGCUAAGUGUUAGAGGGUUUCCGCCCUUUAGUGCUGCAGCAAACGCAUUAAGCACUCCGCCUGGGGAGUACGGUCGCAAGACUGAAACUCAAAGGAAUUGACGGGGGCCCGCACAAGCGGUGGAGCAUGUGGUUUAAUUCGAAGCAACGCGAAGAACCUUACCAGGUCUUGACAUCCUCUGACAACCCUAGAGAUAGGGCUUCCCCUUCGGGGGCAGAGUGACAGGUGGUGCAUGGUUGUCGUCAGCUCGUGUCGUGAGAUGUUGGGUUAAGUCCCGCAACGAGCGCAACCCUUGAUCUUAGUUGCCAGCAUUCAGUUGGGCACUCUAAGGUGACUGCCGGUGACAAACCGGAGGAAGGUGGGGAUGACGUCAAAUCAUCAUGCCCCUUAUGACCUGGGCUACACACGUGCUACAAUGGGCAGAACAAAGGGCAGCGAAGCCGCGAGGCUAAGCCAAUCCCACAAAUCUGUUCUCAGUUCGGAUCGCAGUCUGCAACUCGACUGCGUGAAGCUGGAAUCGCUAGUAAUCGCGGAUCAGCAUGCCGCGGUGAAUACGUUCCC